AAAAGAAAAGUAAAAAAAGAGCGACACAUUUGCCUCCUCAGAGGAGUACCAUGAGGAGUACCGGAAGUCUGGAACCAAGGAGGCCUACCUUAGAAAUGAAUCCAAACCCAAGUUCAGCCGGCGUCUCUUCAUUUCAAAAGAUCCCUUGAACAGUGAAGAAAUUUGAAGAAACGUCUUUAAUGUGGAAGCUUCCGGAGGAGAUUCAGAUAAGGGAUUUGAUUCAAGGUGUUGAUUCUCUAGUGCUGGGGUUAUAUUUGCAAACACAGCGCGUGCCUUGUUUCGCAAAACAAACCAAACCGUGGACAAGAUCGAGCAUGCGUUCCUCAAUACUCAGUUCUAAUUGAGGUAUUUGUCUUUGAAAGAUUGCCCCUCCUGCCUCCAGUCCAUCCUCAGAUGGCAUUAAUAGCGCUGCAGAUAAAAAACGUGGGUUUCUGUCCCAUCCAUAUGUAGGAGUUUUGAUAAAAUGUUCAUCUUUUUCGAUUAAGAAUUUCCAACUUUUGUAUACACACUUGAACCUCAUGAGUGAUUUCACAGGAAGUCUGCUUAAUAUCUCACAAACUAUUAAAUCAUCACCAACUAAGAGAUGGCUGGUACAGCUAACAGAUUUUGUGGAUGAUAACAUAGUGAGGAUAUGGAUGCCUACAACCUAAGGGUUUAGACGGCGAGACCGAUAUUAUAUAGAUGCCUAUAACCUAAUUAAAGGUUAA